CUUUAAGGGUGGAACUGCUCUUAUCUCUGUCACUCGGCUAAUGACGACGGCGAGCUAUUUCCGUUCGAAAGCCGGCGAGUCGGACCUCACCGUUUCACCAAUCGUCUCCCUUUCAUCUUAGGAACAAGAAACACCAGUCGCAUGCAUCGAUUCGUUAGGGUUUCGAAGAGGAUAUUCGAAAACUCCUCAAGAGUUUUCCGACGUUUUUGUGACGAUUCCGGCGAAGAUCGGCGUCGAGGUUGGUCUCAAGCUAUUCCUCAGAACCUCAGAAAGAAAGCGGCUGGGAUAUGAGCAGUAGGCGUUUUUACAACGAUGAUGAAAAUUUCUCCGAAGACGGUAUAUGUUGAUGAGUUCGAGAAAAAGAAGAAGAUAGCACCUCAUUUGAAAAGAGCAAUGAGUGAGAGUAAUUUUGGGUCCAUCAAAAGUUCGAUCUCAUUGAUGCAAAAGCUUGAAGAGCAUUAGAUGUGAGGAUCCAAGGAGUGUCCCGGUUGUGGACACAAGCUUGAAGGAAGGCCGUACGAGUAAUAAUAUUCUUAGCUUGACAUACUGUUUGGUAGUAAUAUUUUGAAUAUGAAGUAGAAUUUUAUGCUAAUAUAAACAGGGUCCAUCUUUAUCUUUUACUGUAAUUUGUUUGUUUACUUUUUUAUUUUGGUGCUUUAAUUCCAUGUUUGUAGUUGAAAUGUAAUUAAAUGGGAUUUGUUACAACCAUCCUGCAUAAUUAAACUCCGGGAGGAACAUGGGUGAGCUCAUGUUUUAGUUUGUCUCUUU